rnacentral:rRNA from 1 species
UGGAGCAUGUGGUUUAAUUCGAAGCAACGCGAAGAACCUUACCAGGUUUUGACAUCCCGAUGCUAUUUCUAGAGAUAGAGAGUUACUUCGGUACAGUCGGUGACAGGUGGUGCAUGGUUGUCGUCAGCUCGUGUCGUGAGAUGUUGGGUUAAGUCCCGCAACGAGCGCAACCCUUAUUGCUAGUUACCAUCAUUGAGUUGGGGACUCUAGCGAGACUGCCAGCGAUAAGCUGGAGGAAGGUGGGGAUGACGUCAAAUCAUCAUGCCCCUUAUGACCUGGGCUACAAACGUGAUACAAUGGCUGGAACAAAGGGAGGCGAAGGGGUGACCUGGAGCGAAACCCAAAAAUACAGUCUCAGUUCGGAUUGAAGUCUGCAACUCGACUUCAUGAAGUCGGAAUCGCUAGUAAUCGCGGAUCAGAACGCCGCGGUGAAUACGUUCCCGGGCCUU